GCUACAACCUUGUGAGACUUGAGCCAAAACGUUUAUUUGGAGAGUUAAUAAUCUGUGCAUCAUUGUUUUCUAAAGUCGUUGCAUGAUCUCAUUAUUCUUUGCUUGGUUGCUACUUAGAAGACGUUUCAUCAUUUAGUUCCAAAUGCUAGAACUCAUGCCUAUUUCAUUCAAAGCAUGCUAUUGAUAACACAUAUUCAAGAUGAAGUUGUGUAGUGACCACCAAAGCCAAAUUGUUGUGCCCCUAUUUCAUUAUGUGUUUAAGUUUAACCCCGUUGAGUCUUGUUAAGCCUAUGUUCUUUGUUAAUCCAUAUUAUCCUUACCUAGCCUAGUUUUAGGACCAUCCAUACCCUUGUUCUUGAAGCAUAGUAAAGCAUGACUUAAAAUCAACUCCUUUUUUAUCAAUGUAUUGCAGAAAGCAAGUGUGGGGGAAGUGAUUCUUGUGUGUGUGUGUGUGCCAAAGUCCUUAAUAAGGCACGGGUAGAAAAGAAAAAAAAAGUGAAAAGAAAAAAGAAUUGAAAAGCGUAUGAAAAAGAGCUCUAAAGUGUUGUUUGUUAAAAAAUGGUCCAAAACAUUGAAUUCGACCCUAAGUGUUGCAUGAAUCUUCCCUUUGUAUUUAAAAGUUGAUUAUGCAUUCUAAAGUGAAUUCCAAGUGUCUAUUUCAUUGCUUUGCUUGCUAUCGCUUUAAGAACGUUUGUUAUUCCUACCCUUUCUUUAUUAGCCAUUACCCCUAAGCCCUGUUACAACCCUUGACUUCAAUCUUGAGUGUUGUGUGUUUCAAUUUGUGGAGUUCGAAAUUGGUAUGAGCAUAUGGUGUCACUGGUUCUCGCAUCUAAGUAAUAGCAUUCCAUUCAUGAGAUCAUAUCUAAACAUGCUUAAUAACUCCAGAAAAUUGCUUUCUUUG
rnacentral:lncRNA from 1 species